rnacentral:rRNA from 1 species
UACGAAGGGGCUAGCGUUGCUCGGAAUCACUGGGCGUAAAGGGUGCGUAGGCGGGUCUUUAAGUCAGGGGUGAAAUCCUGGAGCUCAACUCCAGAACUGCCCUUGAUACUGGCGGCCUUGAGUCCGGGAGAGGUGAGUGGAACUGCGAGUGUAGAGGUGAAAUUCGUAGAUAUUCGCAAGAACACCAGUGGCGAAGGCGGCUCACUGGCCCGGUACGUGACGCUGAGGUGCGAAAGCGUGGGGAGCAAAGCAGGG